GUUUAAAUACGGUUUCAUUAAAAUCCGUUAUUUAACAUUGUAAUUUUGGUUUACAGAAUUUGUAAGCUGUCAUAUAAAUAUCACUGUGUGAUAUACCAGUAUGUACGUUUGAAUUGGUUUGUGCCACAACAGUAACUACCUUGCUCCACAAGUUGGUAAGGAUUAGUAAUAUGUUAUUAGAAUUAUAAUGUAUUUCGUUUAAAAGGUUGAAUUAACUAUGGAGUAUGUUAAGCACAUAGUUUUGAUAAAGAGUUAUUUCCCUUGAGUUUAGAUGCUUUUAAUAUUUGUUUAAUUUAUCAAUGUUGUUAAUCUGAACAACUGAAUAUUAUAUGUAAAGACAUUAAUACUAUGAUUUGAUGAUUAAACAUAAUAUUUGAUCUCAUUAUGUUCAUAACUUAAAUGUAUUUUUAAAGUGUAAUGUUUUGUAUAAUACCAUUAUAUGUAAUGAAAGAAUAUUAUACUUAUCACGUGUAUUACUAAUUUAUUAUUUGAUCUGUAAAAUUAGUAUAACUUUAUCAUUGUUAUUACAGGGUGUUUUACGUUACUGAUUAAUAAAUAUCCUGAACCCUAGCAAAGCGACUUUAGUUUUCCUUGAGGCCUAAAAGUCAGCUAUUACAUUUGGCGCCCACUACCGGUUUUGAUGGCACAGAUCACCCCUAGGAGCAAUCUGAUGAGUUUACCUACGAUGUCAAUAGUUACCACGUGUUACCGGAAGUAUGGUUUGUUGUGAUCACAUGAGAUGUCCACCACGUGUUGUUUAUCAACAAAAGAACUACAUGUGC
rnacentral:lncRNA from 1 species